GACGAACGCUGGCGGCGUGCUUAACACAUGCAAGUCGAACGGAAAGGCCCUGCCUUUGUGGGGUGCUCGAGUGGCGAACGGGUGAGUAACACGUGUGUAACCUGCCCUUCACUUUGGGAUAACUCUAGGAAACUGGGGCUAAUACCGGAUAGGAGCGCCCGUUGCAUGGUGGGGGUUGGAAAGUUUCGGCGGUUGGGGAUGCACUCGCGGCUUAUCAGCUUGUUGGUGGGGUAGUGGAUUACCAAGGCUAUGACGGGUAGCCGGCCUGAGAGGGUGACCGGCCACAUUGGGACUGAGAGACGGCCCAGACUCCUACGGGAGGCAGCAGUGGGGAAUAUUGCACAAUGGGCGGAAGCCUGAUGCAGCGACGCCGCGUGGGGGAUGACGGCCUUCGGGUUGUAAACCGCUUUCGGCUGUGACGAAGCGUUAGUGACGGUAACUGGAAAAGAAGCACCGGCUAACUACGUG
rnacentral:rRNA from 1 species